UCCUCUCCUGCUCGCCGCUGAGCGAGGUAUUCUUUUCCAGACCGAGUCGCCUAGUUGUCGCCGCGGAGCUUUUGCUUGCUGCUGCCGCUGUCGCAACCACCACUGGGCUGCUUUGCCGCGACCCCGUCCCGCCGCCACGCCCCCAGCCCCACACAAGAUGUCAGAGGAUCUAGCAAAGCAACUGGCAAGCUACAAAGCUCAACUCCAGCAAGUUGAAGCUGCGCUGUCUGGAAAUGGAGAAAACGAAGAUUUGCUAAAAUUAAAGAAAGAUUUGCAAGAAGUUAUAGAACUAACCAAAGACCUUCUGUCAACUCAACCUUCUGAAACGCUGGCAAGUUCAGACAAUUUUGCUUCUACUCAGCCCACUCAUUCCUGGAAAGUAGGAGACAAGUGUAUGGCAAUCUGGAGUGAAGAUGGACAGUGUUAUGAAGCGGAGAUUGAGGAGAUAGAUGAAGAAAACGGCACCGCUGCCAUCACUUUUGC